rnacentral:misc_RNA from 1 species
GUGAAUUCUGGAUUCGACUCUGCAAAGAGAAGGUCCAUUUCCACUUUCACACACACUUGUGCACGCGUUUUUUUAUUUUACAAAAUUCACUUUUUGUAAAACAAACACACUUGUGACAACAUCGUACCAGUGGUUGAUGUAAAACUAUGAUAAACGAAAGUA